rnacentral:rRNA from 1 species
AUUGAACGCUGGCGGCAGGCCUAACACAUGCAAGUCGAGCGAGCGGCGGACGGGUGAGUAAUGUAUGGGGAUCUGCCCGACAGAGGGGGAUAACUACUGGAAACGGUGGCUAAUACCGCAUACUAUCGUAUGAACCCAUGUGGGAUUAGCUAGUAGGUGGGGUAAAGGCUCACCUAGGCGACGAUCUCUAGCUGGUCUGAGAGGAUGAUCAGCCACACUGGGACUGAGACACGGCCCAGACUCCUACGGGAGGCAGCAGUGGGGAAUAUUGGACAAUGGGCGAAAGCCUGAUGCAGCAAUGCCGCGUGUGUGAAGAAGGCCUUAGGGUUGUAAAGUACUUUCAGCGGGGAGGCGUUACCCGCAGAGGAAGCACCGGCUAACUCCGUGCCAGCAGCCGCGGUAAUUC